rnacentral:ncRNA from 1 species
GCGGACACCCCAGCAGGGCCGCACCGCACGAAAGCGGCCCCGCCCCACUUCCCA